rnacentral:rRNA from 1 species
CCUACGGGAGGCAGCAGUAGGGAAUCUUCCGCAAUGGGCGAAAGCCUGACGGAGCAACGCCGCGUGAGUGAUGAAGGUCUUCGGAUCGUAAAACUCUGUUAUUAGGGAAGAACAUACGUGUAAGUAACUGUGCACGUCUUGACGGUACCUAAUCAGAAAGCCACGGCUAACUACGUGCCC